GAUGAACGCUGGCGGCGUGCUUAACACAUGCAAGUCGAGCGAAGCACUUAAGUUUGAUUCUUCGGAUGAAGACUUUUGUGACUGAGCGGCGGACGGGUGAGUAACGCGUGGGUAACCUGCCUCAUACAGGGGGAUAACAGUUAGAAAUGACUGCUAAUACCGCAUAAGACCACGGUACCGCAUGGUACAGUGGUAAAAACUCCGGUGGUAUGAGAUGGACCCGCGUCUGAUUAGGUGGUUGGUGGGGUAACGGCCUACCAAGCCGACGAUCAGUAGCCGACCUGAGAGGGUGACCGGCCACAUUGGGACUGAGACACGGCCCAGACUCCUACGGGAGGCAGCAGUGGGGAAUAUUGCACAAUGGAGGAAACUCUGAUGCAGCGACGCCGCGUGAAGGAUGAAGUAUUUCGGUAUGUAAACUUCUAUCAGCAGG
rnacentral:rRNA from 1 species